CCUACGGGAGGCAGCAGUGAGGAAUAUUGGUCAAUGGACGAGAGUCUGAACCAGCCAAGUAGCGUGAAGGAUGACUGCCCUAUGGGUUGUAAACUUCUUUUAUAUGGGAAUAAAAUGUUCCACGUGUGGGAUUUUGUAUGUACCAUAUGAAUAAGGAUCGGCUAACUCCGUGCCAGCAGCCGCGGUAAUACGGAGGAUCCGAGCGUUAUCCGGAGUUAUUGGGUUUAAAGGGAGCGUAGGUGGAUUGUUAAGUCAGUUGUGAAAGUUUGCGGCUCAACCGUAAAAUUGCAGUUGAAACUGGCAGUCUUGAGUACAGUAGAGGUGGGCGGAAUUCGUGGUGUAGCGGUGAAAUGCUUAGAUAUCACGAAGAACUCCGAUUGCGAAGGCAGUUCACUGGACUGCAACUGACACUGAGGCUCGAAAGUGUGGGUAUCAAACAGGAUUAGAUACCCGUGUAGUC
rnacentral:rRNA from 1 species